AAUGGCCCACCCCAUCUCUUCCCUUCUCUUCUCUGGCUGCGUGGUAGCUCUAGAAACCCAAAUCCAUCUGACAGAAGCUGCUUUCCCUACAGACCAGCUCCUGCUUCUCUUAGCACCACGGCACCCUUGCCUCCAUCCUGCCAGAGCACCAGGAGAGUGCUGAGAAGGCGAGGUGGGAAGGAAGCAACACCAACCUUCUGAGGACGACCCCAGAGGGGACACCUGCAGCUGGUAGAUGUCGUUGGUGCUGUCAGCCAUGGCGAUUUCCAUCGGCAUCCUCCAGUCGGUCAGGGAGCCGCUCACCUCGCAGGACGAGAGAGGUGGGAGCAUCCUGUACACUCGGACAGCGCUGGAGCCUUUGUUGAUGCUUUUAUCCUUCACUUCUUCAAUGUCAGGCAGUGAAUUCAUGGCGCAGCGGAAGUUCGCCUUCCAGGUUUUUGGGUCGGGGUCCUUCUCGCCUACUUUAUAUCUUCCUGUUAAGAAGAGAUGGGAGGAAUGUUGAGUGUUUUCAUUGCAGUGAUAGUUCUUCACCCCAGAAAAGUUCUUGCUCUGUUUCCUCUGACAUGUAACACCUGAGGUGUAAGCCAAGACAAAAAUGCUAACGCUGGAGAUAUUCACGUGACUGGAGGGACUGAAGCCAGCACACACCUGUAUGGAUGGCCCAGCUCCGGAAGAGGCAGGCGUCCUUCUCCAUGUCCCAGCCAUGCUUAGCUGCAUGUUUCCAUGGGAUCUGAAAUAUCAUCUUAUCCUGAAAUUAAACCAACGGAAACCUGAAUUAAAACAAAGCAUCACUUGCCAGUUUGUAAUGAUGGCUUUAACCAAAGAAUUCCCUCAGCAGCAGCUCAGAAACUUUGAAACCCUCUCCUCUCAUCUUCAUUUAAGAGCUGCUGUUCCACCUGCUGGGUUUGGGAAAGCUGCAUGCAGUGGUACAGCAGCAAUGAGCAACAGCCUCAGCUCAAGCCCGGAACCACUGCAACAUGUUGCACCUCAUCUGCUAGUGUAUCCUGAACUACAGGACAUUCCCCAUCUACACUUGGAUACAGAAUCCCUUGAAGGGUUACAAGUAAGAUCCUGCAUGAGUCCUACCAAAACCAUAUCCUAGCUUAAAGAAUGCCUUGGGAUGGAUUGGAAGCUUCAGAGAAACAAAUCUGACUCAGUAAGCCUGGUGAUCCCACUCCUGUGGGACAACGACAGGGAUGUGCUUCCAACACCAACCUGAGAUGAACUGAGGGUUUAUUUUAGGUCAGAGCUUAAAGAUUUCUGUCCUAUGGGGGAGGUGUGGGAGUAGUUACUGAGCUGGGACAGAAGGUGGCCUGGCUCCAGUGGGCACCAAGAGAUGAGUUUUCUUGGUUCUCAGUCAAGUUCAAAUGGCAUUUGCUUUAUCGUUACCCUCCUGGAAAACUUAUCAAGAAAAACAUUGAAACGCUGCAUUCUGUACCAACCAGAGCCACCUUUCCUGAAAAUGCAGUUUUCUUUUAAAAAUAAGAAAUAAAGCUUCUCCAUUUUCUUCUUUCU
rnacentral:lncRNA from 1 species